rnacentral:rRNA from 1 species
AACGAACGCUGGCGGCAGGCUUAACACAUGCAAGUCGAACGCCCCGCAAGGGGAGUGGCAGACGGGUGAGUAACGCGUGGGAACAUACCCUUUUCUACGGAAUAGCUCUGGGAAACUGGAAUUAAUACCGUAUACGCCCUACGGGGGAAAGAUUUAUCGGGGAAGGAUUGGCCCGCGUUGGAUUAGCUAGUUGGUGGGGUAAAGGCCUACCAAGGCGACGAUCCAUAGCUGGUCUGAGAGGAUGAUCAGCCACAUUGGGACUGAGACACGGCCCAAACUCCUACGGGAGGCAGCAGUGGGGGAUAUUGGACAAUGGGCGCAAACCUGAUCCAGCCAUGCCGCGUGAGUGAUGAAGGCCUUAGGGUUGUAAAGCUCUUUCACCGAUGAAGAUAAUGACGGUAGUCGGAGAAGAAGCCCCGGCUAACUUCGUGCCAGCCGCCGCAGUAAGAC